GAUGAACGCUGGCGGCGUGCCUAAUACAUGCAAGUCGAGCGAAUGGAUUAAGAGCUUGCUCUUAUGAAGUUAGCGGCGGACGGGUGAGUAACACGUGGGUAACCUGCACAUAAGACUGGGAUAACUCCGGGAAACCGGGGCUAAUACCGGAUAAUAUUUUGAACUGCAUGGUUCAAAAUUGAAAGGCGGCUUCGGCUGUCACUGAUGGAUGGACCGGCGUCGCAUUAGCUAGUUGGUGAGGUAACGGCUAGCCAAGGCAACGAUGCGUAGCCGACCUGAGAGGGUGAUCGGCCACACUGGGACUGAGACACGGCCCAGACUCCUACGGGAGGCAGCAGUAGGGAAUCUUCCGCAAUGGACGAAAGUCUGACGGAGCAACGCCGCGUGAGUGAUGAAGGCUUUCGGGUCGUAAAACUCUGUUGUUAGGGAAGAACAAGUGCUAGUUGAAUAAGCUGGCACCUUGACGGUACCUAACCAGAAAGCCACGGCUAACUACGUGCCAGCCGCCGCAGUAA
rnacentral:rRNA from 1 species